AUACAGAGGGUGCAAGCGUUAAUCGGAUUUACUGGGCGUAAAGCGCGCGUAGGUGGCUAAUUAAGUCAAAUGUGAAAUCCCCGAGCUUAACUUGGGAAUCGCAUUCGAUACUGGUUAGCUAGAGUAUGGGAGAGGAUGGUAGAAUUCCAGGUGUAGCGGUGAAAUGCGUAGAGAUCUGGAGGAAUACCGAUGGCGAAGGCAGCCAUCUGGCCUAAUACUGACACUGAGGUGCGAAAGCAUGGGGAGCAAACAGGAUUAGAUACCCUGGUAGUCCAUGCCGUAAACGAUGUCUACUAGCCGUUGGGGCCCUUGAGGCUUUAGUGGCGCAGCUAACGCGAUAAGUAGACCGCCUGGGGAGUACGGUCGCAAGACUAAAACUCAAAUGAAUUGACGGGG
rnacentral:rRNA from 1 species